rnacentral:rRNA from 1 species
GUGGGGAAUCUUCCGCAAUGGACGAAAGUCUGACGGAGCGACGCCGCGUGAGUGAAGAAGGCCUUCGGGUCGUAAAGCUCUGUCAUCAGGGACGAACGGCCGGUGGAGUGGAAAGCCACCGGAUUGACGGUACCUGAGAAGGAAGCCACGGCUAACUACGUGCCAGCAGCCGCGGUAAUACGUAGGUGGCAAGCGUUGUCCGGAAUUAUUGGGCGUAAAGCGCGCGCAGGUGGGAUCUUAAGUCCAUUUUUAAAGUUCGGGGCUCAACUCCGUGAUGGGAUGGAAACUGGGAUUCUUGAGUACCGGAGAGGAAAGCGGAAUUCCCCGUGUAGCGGUGAAAUGCGUAGAUAUGGGGAGGAACACCAGUGGCGAAGGCGGCUUUCUGGACGGUGUCUGACACUGAGGCGCGAAAGCCAGGGGAGCGAACGGGAUUAGAUACCCCGGUAGUCC